GUCCUACGGGGGGCAGCAGUGGGGAAUAUUGAACAAUGGGGGAAACCCUGAUGCAGCGACGCCGCGUGAGUGAAGAAGUAAUUCGUUAUGUAAAGCUCUAUCAGCAGGGAAGAAAAUGACGGUACCUGAGUAAGAAGCCCCGGCUAACUACGUGCCAGCAGCCGCGGUAAUACGUAGGGGGCAAGCGUUAUCCGGAUUUACUGGGUGUAAAGGGAGCGUAGAAGGCGAAGAAAGUCUGA
rnacentral:rRNA from 1 species